CGCACUUGCGCAUUCUCAUCAAAUCCAAUCCCUGUGUUGGUGUUUUGACUCGCUUUCUCAAAAGUAGUUAUCGCCGUUCUCAAAAGUAAAUAAAAGUAUACGCGCUUGCGCAUUCUCAUCAAUUUCAAUCCCUGAGUUGGGGUUUUGAUUCGCUUUCCCAAAAGUAGUCAUCGCCGUUCCCAAAAUUAAACAAAACUGUAUGCGCUAGCGCAUUCUCAUCAAUUUCAACUCUUGAGUUGAGGUUUUGACUCGCUUCCCAAAAGUCAAUGCCGUUUGCAAAAGUAAACAAAUAGGCGUUCUCGAAAGUAAACAAAUCUAUACACGCUUGCGCUUUCUCAUCAAUUCCAAUUCCUGAGUUGGGGUUUUGACUCGCUUUCCAAAAGUAGUCAUCGCCGUUCCCAAAAGUAAACAAAACUAUAUGCGCUUGCGCAUUCUCAUCAAUCAAUUCUCAUCGCUCCGGAGACGAUCCAAUCCGAUCUAGCGCGAUUCGGACAUUCGGCUUACAUUUUUAAGGGAUCUCUUUACAUCUAUGGAGGUUUCGAUGGUCAGAUGUUUUCGGACAUGUUUCGGACAUCCUCAAGUACACACCAGGUACUUGCGAUCAUCUGAGCGCGCAGAACGUCUGCUUGAACACCAGACCCGGAGUGAAGUGCGUUUGGGACCACAAGAAUGGGAGGUGCAUCAACAUUAAGGAUGUGCCGAGGACUCAAUUCAGUAGUGCCGAUUCCGUCAUCCUCCGUUGUCCGGAAAUGAAUUUUCCCUAUAUUGGUCACAAGUUCUUCGAGGAUAUGGAGAUUUGCAGUGAGAUCGAGGAUUGCGCCAGCUGCGUUUCCACAACCAGGAAAUGUGUCUGGUGCAAGACGCGUCAGUUAUAAAAUCAAUUCAUCAAAAUGUUAAAUUAAAUUUUCAUUUUAUUUUAACGUGCGCCUAUGAUUCGUGCAAGGAUUCAAAUGAUCUCCCUAUUUUCUCUUUAGACCAAUGCCCGAUGGAUGCGCGACCGAUGUGCGAUAAGUUGCAUACGUGUAAAGCAUGCAGCGCUCAAACUUACUAUUGUAAUGGUCUUAUGAGACCGCUAAAUUCUCGACGUAUACUCCGCCAACUACCGGAAACAAUCAGACCGAUGUGAUGGUUAUAGGUCAGGGCCAGCAGUAUCCUCGAUUCUGCUCUGAGUACAGCUCUUGUCAGGACUGCACCCGAGAAGAGUGUAUUUGGUGUCACUGCUACGAAGAUCCCAUAAACAAAGGAUUCUGCUACUGUAAAUGAUCUCACAAUCGAUUACCAGUUCACGUUCAAUCUGUCCAAGAAGGAGAACCCUACACGCAGAUCAACUUCCGGAAUUCGGUAUCCCCUCUGGAUACAGAUUUCGUUCUCGCAACCUCCCAAGCUCAAUCUUUAUCACAUUGGACCGCAUUCGUCAAAUUCAAAAUGCUGGAAACAAAGCAAGACUUGAAGCGGCAAACUGAAAUUUUGCGGAAGCAUUCGGAAUAUACGAAUGGUUCCGAAUUCAUCCAAUUCUUCUCCUUAUGCUCCUCCCAAGCAGGGGUUACUAGUUAAUUCAAUGGUCGCUAGUAGUCGCUAGGGGAAUAAAAAUUGAAGUGCUGCCACUACAACGAAUCUAGAUCAUUCGCUAUACCAACCGUAAAUAAAAAAAUAUAUAUAAAACACAAGCA